AAAAAGGAGUUAUAUUUAUUCUCUUAUGUGAUCAUGAGUGCCCUUUGAGUGUAACAUGAAUUACCAGUUUGUCAUCUAUCACUUCCUUUAAGAGUCGUGUGCACUUGAACCUGGUGCAUUUCAGUUUAGACGAAUGACUCAGUAAGUGGCAGAAGUGAGAGGUUUUCUGGCAAAGAAACAGGUGUGCAUGCAAAAUGUCAUUUCAUUUUUUGUUUUUGUUUUCAAUCCAGUGAUCAGGAAUCUGAGUGCUAACACACAUCCCUGGGUGUAAGCAGAAUGAGGGAGUCUGUGUAAUGCAUAUCUGAAUAGUGCAUCGUAUAAAUAACAGAAAAACUGAGCUUGACUUUAAACUAGGUUUUUGGCAGCCUAUGGUGCAAAUAUAAUCACUUCCUGCUUCCUUAUGAUCGCACUGCACCAACAUUCCAGUUGAUGACGCCUCAUUUUAACAUGAGCAGACCCACUGGUGGAAACUAGCAAUAACUCAUGCACCAUGCUGUGCACAGCUUUGCAUCAGGUGUAUGAUUGGACCCCAAAUAUUGGUCAUUAGCAUGUACUUGGGUGAUUUCCCAGACACCAAUUAAUUGUGACCUUGAAGACAAUUUCAAGGUUACAGUGAGAUCUUGAAGAUAUUGUCAUUGCCACCCUUGUGAAUGCAAUAUCUCAAGAACCAGUUGACCAAUUUCAUUCAUAUAAUCAUAAGGGUGUACUUGGAUGAUCCCCCGACACCAGUCCAUUACGGUGACCUUGGGGUUAAUUUCAAGGCCACAGCCAGAUAUUCAAGAUAUUGUCAUUGCCACUCUUGUUCGCGUGACAUCUCAAGAACCACUUGACGAAUGUCAGUCAUAUUUAGCAUAAGGGUAUACUUGGAUGAUCAUCGGACACCAUUAAAUUAUGGUGACCUUGAAGUCAAUUUUGAGGUCAAUUUCAAGGUCACUGCAAGAUAUUGAUGAUGUUGUCAUUGCAUCCUUGUUAGUGCAACAUCUCAAGAACCAGUUGACCAAUUUCAUUCAUAUUUGGCAUAAGGGUUUACUUGGGUGAUCUCCCAACACUUUGUAUUAUUGAUUUGUGGGGGCUGGGAGGAUAUGUCGUCUCCUGAUGACUCUUGUCUGGGUGGUUGUCAUUCAGGACCAAAGGAGGUUCCACGGUGUGGUGCAUGUGUCUAAAUGUGACACCCGCACAUGCUCCAAGACCUGACCGGAUCUUUUAUUUUGUUGAUGAAUGGACAGAGGGCUACACGAGACCAAAACCAAUACUCCUGAAUUUCCUACUAUUCCAUGCCUUCUUCUGCCACUAUUCCCACCCAUGACUUCAGGCAUCCAGAUGAUUUCAAUGCCUCACUGCCGCCAGCUAACGUUUAAGUUUUUCUUGACUUUAUCGUGUGAUGUCACGGACAUCAGAGGUCUGAUCCAGAGAAGAACACUUUUUCAAUGCAUGGCCUAGUUCCUGAGAUAAGGUGAUCAAUGCAUUUCAGAAGAUGACCUCUGAUUUGUCCUUGACCUUUGACCUUUACAGGACCUGGGUUGUAAGAGCACAGUCCACUGUGCCAAAUCUGACAGAAACUGUGUUUUGAACAUUUCCCCUCUGAGUGGCGGUCAACCGUCCAGUCCAGGAGCCACUGGUGUAGACGAUUACAAGCUACUUUAAAAAUGCUGUUCUGCUGUACUGUUCCUUCACUGCACCUUUUAUCCUGAAAAUUUAUAUUUCAAAAUAAAUUCAUGAUGUGAU